ACACUUACCUGGCAGGGGAGACACCAUGAUCAUGAGGUGGUUUUCCCAGGGUGAGACUUAUCCAUUGCACUUGGGAUGUGCUGACCCCUGCAAUUUCUCCAAACAUGAGAAGCGCAAUUGCAUUAUAUGUGGUAGUGGGGGACAGUGUUCGUGCUCUCCUCUU
ensembl:snRNA U1 U1 spliceosomal RNA